GAUGACUGUAGGUGAAAGCUUACAUCUCUUCGGAGCAUUUUACGAGGUGCUGCAUGGUUGUCGUCAGCUCGUGCCGUGAGGUGUCGGGUUAAGUCCCAUAACGAGCGCAACCCCUACCUUUAGUUGCCAUCAGGUUAAGCUGGGGACUCUAAAGGAACUGCCUACGCAAGUAGUGAGGAAGGCGGGGAUGACGUCAAAUCAGCACGGCCCUUACGUCCAGGGCUACACACGUGCUACAAUGGCCGAUACAGAGGGCAGCUACCUGGUGACAGGAUGCAAAUCUCCAAAGUCGGUCUCAGUUCGGAUCGGAGUCUGCAACCCGACUCCGUGAAGUUGGAUUCGCUAGUAAUCGCGCAUCAGCCAUGGCGCGGUGAAUACGUUCCCGGGCCUU
rnacentral:rRNA from 1 species